GGGCAUUUGGUCUAGUGGUAUGAUUCUCGCUUUGGGUGUGAGAGGCCCCAAGUUCGAUUCUCAGAAUGUCCC
rfam:Morus notabilis contig4677, whole genome shotgun sequence.